UUAAUUGUAGAAAAUAAAAAAAAAGGUUUAACAAAACAACGAUUUUUACGUUGCAUCGUUUGAUCGCAAACGACCUCCAUGCGAUACAUACAAUGGAAAUUCGUAACAUUGCUUUUUUGAUACAUAGAAAAGGCAAUGUGACUACUUAGAUCUACUUUCUUUUGCUUACUUGGGUAUUAUUUUUAAUGUCCUAUAUCAUAUCGAAAGUUUUCGCUUCUAUCUUUUCUCUUAUGAAUAGCAUUAGCGUCAAUUUUAUGGAUUUCGGUCCUAAGUACGUUAUAUAAUCAGGAAAUAUGAUAAUUAGGCAAUUCAUAACAUCAACUUACAAUUUAAUUUUACCUGAAUCUAAAGGUACCUGUUCGUCCGAUGGGGUGUAAACGUGGCGAACAUGUACAUUAUCGCCGGGGAAAAAGGGGACACGGACCUCGAAGAACUCCUGUCGGGAUCCCAGAAGAAGGUGAUAUUAAAAGGCGCUGUCGAAAGAGGUUCAGAAGAGCUGCUCAGAACGUCCGGAAGCUACAAGAAGAAAGACAUCGUUCCGGCAGACAGCCCCUUCAUUUUCUACACAAACAACGGAUUCAAGUCAGCAGAUAUUGCGAAAGCAAUUCAAGAAGCAAGCAAAGCUGGUUAUGGGAAGUGAUCUAGUGAUGAUCUACUGAUAAAUAUAACUUCAAACUAUACAUGUUUUUUUUUUUUUUGUCUCUUUGUUUGUUGCACGUAAAUGUUACUUUAUGUUUUGCAACUGAGAGAUGGUUUUUGUUCUGAUAAGUGAGUUUUCAGAUGGAUACUGCAAUCAAAACAAUCAAUUCCAACAAUUUUUUGUGAUAUGUGAUUGUUGUGAUAUGAAUUUUACAUCAUUUAAUUGUUAAGAUCAUCGUAAAAGCGUGCGGAUAUAAAUUUGAUAGUACACAUAACAACAAGAGGAAACAAAAUAAUGGGAAUAAAUUUGCGCUCAUGUUGUAUUAUGAUUCUCCUAUUUUGUGAUUCUUUGUUAAUACCUUUCACUUCUUUAUGAAGAGCACAUAUUACAAAUGAUCAUGUAACCGAAUAACCACGAGAAUUUAUAACCAAUUACGGGAUUUGUCGAGAAAUUAGUGUGAGAAAACUAAACUAAAUCCUAUCAAAAAGAGCAACAAUAUUAAAUGAACUGAAAUUGCGAGUACAUGGAAAUGUGCUCAUACCUGAAGAAAAGGCGAACAAACCAGAAGAGCAGCCACAAAAGUGCAAGCCAAAUCAAGCUACAACCCGCAUUUCUCAGUUACGAUUGCUACCGAAAAGAUCGAUUUGAUAGAAGCAGUUAAGUUAGGAAUAGUCUUAACACCUCUGCUCACAUGCAUGAUAGAUAUAAGGUGAAUUAUCCUGCGUGCAAUAAAAAAGAUUAAAAAUUAGGAUUCAUAUAACUAAAUGGUCUUAAAACAACAAACACUAAUAGAAAAUGAUAUAGAAAUAAUCUUAACACUCUACUCACGUGCAUGAUGAAUAUCAGAUGAAUCAUACCACAUACAUUGACAGAAAAUAUAACGAAAGUGUUAACUAGGACUAGUAGGACAAAGAACGGAUACCGAUAGAAAACUACUUAGAAAUAGUCUGAAUAGUGACCGACGUGUGUAUAUAUAUAGAGAGAGAGUACUAGUACAAGGAGUAUUCAUUGAGACAUUCCAUCAAACACUAGAUAGGCACUCUCCAAUUCCACAGGAGUAAUUUCUUGGGAUUAGGGGAAGUUGCUGCUGUAGUCGCUGUAAUUUCACAGGAAUAUUUUUUUUUAUAAUAAAUUAAAAUGAUAAAUUUUUUACAAUGUUAAGGAUGGAAUAAUAGAACACUCGCACGGGAAUUACAGGGACAGGAGUUGCAAUAUAGGAAGUACAGGGGCUAUCUCGACAUUUUACCCUCAGAAACGUUGGGGACUAAAGUGAAAAUUCUGGUAAAUCUCAGGUACAACUGUGCGAUUUUCGUGCACGCAUGAAGCGCCGUAAAAAUAUGCGGACGUCCCCACAGUAACCUACCCCUGCGGCACACUCUACUCACUUUAACCUACACCAACACCUCUCUCUCUCUCUCUCUCUCUCUCUCUCAUCCUUCGCUACACUCCUCACAGAUCCCGGUCGAGCUCUCGCUCCCCCGAUCCCCUCUUCUAGGGUUUCCUCCUCCUCUCUCUCCCCACCACCAUCUCAAAACCCUAGCUCUAAUCCCAUCUAAUGCGAAGGUACGCUCCGUCGCCUCCUCUCCCGAUCGAACCUCGCUGCGAAUUUGACUGAUAUUUUGUACUAAUUUUCUCCGAUUUGUAUUGCUCGUUGCAGAAUCGGAGAUGGUUGGGGCCGGAGAGGCGGCGGCGGCGGCGGCGGCGGCGUUGGUGGCGGAGCGAGGCAUCAGGCGAAGCAGCUCGGAAGUGGCGGAGGACGAUGGCGGGGAGGCUCGGGAUCGCCGUCGUCGUCCUCGUCGUAUGCACCCUAUCGCUCUUCUCCUCGAUCGGCGUCCCUCGCCCGUAUAGCACAGUGAGGGUUCGUAGUGUUUCCUUUUGAUUCCUCUGGGGUUUCGUGUUCUUUUGUUGGAUGUUUAGGGUUUUGAUUCGAGUGGCCUAAAAUGCGCCUAAUGGCUGUUGAUAAAUGCAACAUUUUUGUACCAGUUUAAUGUAGCAUUGUUAGAAUUUAGUUUAGAUUUAACUUAUUUAAUGCAUAUGAAACACUUUUUAUAUGGAUUGUUACUUUCUGGUUCUAGUUGUAAUAUUGUAUUUGUUAAUGAUUCUGAAUUUUUAGUUCUUCGAUGUUUAACUUGUGAAGCUACUAAAUAGAUGUAUAUGUUUUUACUGGGCACGGGUUUAUGGAUUGUGGACUAUGUGUAUAUAACUGGAAUCAUUUGAGCUGUUAUACUUGGUACAAUGUUGUCCUUGUUUAUGCCUUUUUAUUUUUCUUAUUUUUCUGCCUUUUAUGUUAUGCCGGAAUCCUUCAGAAGGUUGAUGUGAAUGAUCUGUGGAGAACUGCUGAUUCUGGUGGUUGGAGAGCAUCAUCGGCACCACGGUCCUACUGGCCUCGUAUGUAAUUUUCCUUAACCUUGUCGUAUAGUGCUUAUAUGUAUUCUCACAUUCAAUUAUGAUGGCUAAUUAUCCUUUAUGAUUUGACUGUUGUAGCUCCUCCAACUGAGAGCAAUGGUUAUUUACGUGUGCGGUGCAAUGGCGGCUUGAAUCAACAACGGAGUGCGGUACGAAGAGUAUUCCCAUUUAUAACAGUCUAUAAGGCUUUAUCUCAUCCAUUUAAGUUCAUAUGGACGUGUCUGAGUAUUUGUUGUUGCUGAUGUUAUAGAAUUGAACUUCAAUUUAGGCAAAUACACCUUUGUCUAUUCUUCCAUGCUUGGCUAUAAUUUUGGUUAGUUAAUGUGCUUUAUAGCCAGCACAUAUCUAACUUGGCAAACAUCUCUUUCGUUAUGAUUUUGCCUCAUGAAAUAUUGAUCCCUGUUUGUGGGUUUCAUAGAUAUGUAAUGCUGUUGUUGCUGCGCGAAUCAUGAAUGCUACGUUGGUGCUGCCUGAUUUGGACACAAAUUCUUUUUGGCGGGAUGAGAGGUAUCUCCUUUUCUUCAUCUCAAUUCAUCCUGUAUCCGUGUUGCUUGUACUUCUUUGUUUCUUAUUUUAGAUGAGUAGAUCAAACAUUUACGAUGAUCUUUGUAUUGUGAGCAAGUAGCAAGUAAAACUUCAUGGUAAAUCAAGCCUAAUUUCCUUUUGGGUUGCACAUCUUUUUUGCUUUCAGCAUUAUUUGUAGUGCACUUUAAAAAUUUGCUAAAGAUAGAAAUGACUUUCGAAUUUAUUAGAUAUAAAGUUAAUGCGGAAAAGACUGAUUAAACCUGGUGGACUGCAAGAAAUCAGUGUUUUUUGGUUGACACAAUUGCCGUUAAUUAAGAAAAUUAGACUAAAAAAACUAUGCUAUAUGAAUUUAAAAUAAUUUAGUUGAAUCUUUUUCUACUUGCUUAUAAAAUACCUGCUUUUCCAUGUUUAAUUAAUUUACGGUUUAUUUUUAUGCCCAGCGGUUUUCCAGGUAUCUACGAUGUAGAGCACUUCAUCAAGUCACUGAGAUAUGAUGUGCGCAUUGUUAGAAGCCUUCCAGAAAUCUCUUCAAAUGGAAAGACCAAGAAGAUGAAAUCUUAUCAGGUAAAGCACUAAAUCUUAGUGACGUAUCUUCCACAUGGUACCAGGAUCACAUGUCUAACCGCAUAUUUUUGUGGGGUAAAAUAUAUGGAUAGUGUCUGUGUCUGUACUCUGUACUAUCCCGAUAUUGCAGCUGAAUUUACGUUCUUAAGCAAAAAGUUCAGGAACUAAGUUGCAGCAUUCACUAUAUCGGGAUAGUUAGGGGACUUCACCUGUUUUGUAUUGAGUUGCAUUUGUGUCAUAAGCUUUUUGUUUUACUCGUCUUUCAGAUUCGUCCACCAAGAGAUGCUCCUUUAAGCUGGUACACAACAUUUGCAUUGGAAAUGAUGAAGCAGCAUGGUGCGAUUUAUCUCACUCCUUUUUCACACCGUUUAGCAGAGGAGAUUGACAACCCUGAGCUUCAGAGGUUGAGAUGCCGUGUUAACUAUCAUGCACUUAGGUUUAAACCUCACAUCAUGCAAAUAAGCAGUGAGAUAGUGAAUAAACUCCGUGCACAAGGCCACUUCAUGUCAAUACACCUUCGAUUUGAGAUGGAUAUGCUUGCAUUUGCUGGGUAUGUGAUUUUACCGAUGCUGUUAACUAUAUGCAAUCAUUUCCUCGCAUAUCUACCCGUGUGGACAGAGAAUAUGUAAAGAAUAGAUAGUGUCUGAUUUGAUCAUUUGCAUGAUUACAAUCGUUGGCAUGAAUUUAAUUAUUAGAAUGGUUGCGGAACAUUGAUUUUUUUCCUUUCUAUUCUUCCAUGAUAAAGUUCAAAAAUUGUUUUCUUUCUCAAUGUAAGUUCGUCUGUAUUUAUUGCUUGCAUUGUUGUUUGGCAAUACUUUGGUCAUUUUUUAGAUGGUCUUUCGAAGUUGGAAGUAAGUUUUUCUUUUCCAUGCGGUGAAUAGUUCAGUGUUGGUUUAUGUACCUAAACUUUUCAUUAACAUGACUCAAAUCUACUUGGUUCUUGUAUUGCACUGGUAAAAAAGUUUAUUGAUGCCAACUGAUAUGUGAGCAAUUUGAUUUGCUCUCUAAUGAAACUAAGCUUGAUGCUGUGAUAAGACAAAUUCAUGUGGUUGCGAAAUGUAUUUAAUAUUAAAUGUGAAAAUUUUCAGGUGUAUUGAUAUAUUCACACCGGAAGAACAGAAAAUCUUGAUCAAAUACAGAAAAGAGAACUUUGCAGAGAAGGAACUUGUUUACAGAGAAAGGAGGCUCAUCGGGAAGUGCCCAUUAACUCCAGAAGAGGUAAAGCUUUAUCAAUAUUUUAUCCUCAUGUUUAUUCUCAUCACUGUCAAUGUUUACGACUUAUUGCUUUUCAUCGUUAUCAUGCAUUGGUUGUGCUCAGCUGUUCACUUUGCAUUUUCAUAUCUUCCUUAUAGUUUAGCUUCGUCUUAGAUCUGUAGUAGCCUGUAAUCAAUUCGGUAUCAAAGCCAUGCAUAUACAUAGUGAGAGACAAGUGAUUUUUAUAGAAAUCGAGCUAGAAAAAAAUUGGAGCAGCCCCCUUUCAUGAGUACAACACCACAUUAUUGAAAAGUUAUGUUCUUUGAGAGGUUUUUUCAGUAGCAUCAAGUGAACGAAAAAAAUACACAGCUGAAAGAAACUGGGGUACACGACAAAGUCGACAAAGUAGUCUUAGAAUAUUAUAGAUGUCGCCUGCUGCAAAUAGAAAAACCAUUAUGCGAGGUCAAAUGAGUACUACCUAUUUAUGAUAGCUUAAUCUGAUCUUACAACUUAAAUCGCGACUGGUGCUGCCGAUCUAAGCCUACCGUAUGUUUUUUGUGGAAAGCAGACAAUGUUGUUGUUGAUCUAACCUGUUUAUGAAAUCAACUACAAUAUCUGCGAUGCAGAACGAUAUGAAAUAUUGGGAGCUCUGUUGCUGUACUUUAUUUAUGUUGCGGAACAUUCUAGUUCCAAUGUUUGCAAUUUGUCUGUAGUCAUUGACUCAUUGUAUAUCAUAAAUAUUUAUUAUGCCUCUGACCUCUUAUAAAAAACUGUCAAUCAAUCACUGAUGCGAAGAAAUAACCUGAAAAAUCUUUGGUGCAAAAUGAAAAGGUUGGUCUCAUUCUGCGCUCCAUGGGGUUCGACAACUCUACUCGAAUCUACCUCGCUUCCGGCGAGCUUUUCGGGGGGGAGCGUUUCAUGAAGCCAUUCCGAGAAAUGUUUCCUCACCUCGAGAACCACAGCUCGGUGGGACCCGAAAAGCUCGAAGAGAAUGCUCGAGGGUUGGCGGGCUCCGCGGUCGACUACAUGGUCUGUCUCCUCUCCGACAUCUUCGUGCCCACAUACGACGGCCCGAGCAACUUCGCCAACAACCUAAUGGGCCACCGCCUCUACUACGGGUUUCGAACCAUUAUACAACCCGAUAGAAAGGCCUUGGCCCCUAUUUUCGUCGACCGGGAGGAGGGCCGGGGGUCCGGGUUUGAGGAGCGGGUUAGGCAAGUCAUGUAUAGAACGAAUUUCGGCGGGCCGCACAAGAGAGUGCGGCCCGAGUCGUUCUACACGAACUCGUGGCCCGAGUGCUUCUGCCAGCCGGAGUCCAAGAACCCAAAGGACAAGUGCCCGCCGGAGAACGUUGUAGAAGUUUUGGGCAGCCAGUUGCAGAGCGAGGAGAGCGAGGGUUCGGAGGAAGGGAAGGAUGCGAAUCAGGCAGCCGCGACCGGUCGAGCAGAAGAAGAGGGUUCAACUUGAAGGGCGACUGUUAUUUUUAAUCUACAGCUCGGAGAAAUGAUUGUUUGAGUGGCUCGGCGCGGAACGUGUUCUACUCUGAAUCGAUAGAGGUUUCCGAGCUACAAAUUCGGAACGUUGAAGACAAGCUACGGAGAUUGAGAUCGAAACAUUCUGUGCGGCGGUCAGAGUAAAUUUUUUCCCCCCCCUUUUCUUUGUAGUGAUAUUUUUUUUUGUAAGAAGUGAUUCGAACCUCAUUAAUCAAUCGCCAUCUUAGUUUGUAAAAAUUUGAAAACACGAUGAUUUCUUAAGAUAAUAGACAAUGAUAAUAAGUUGGGUUUUAAACUAGAAGGUAGUGAUGCUCUCUUUCUUUCAUUCUGUUUUCUCUCUAUUUCAUUUGUGUUGAAGAACUUGGAAUGCAUAAGAGUCCAAUUUUGUAUUUUGAAGUUUAGAUUGAACUGUACCAUGUAUCUUUCUUUUCAUAAUCAUGUGGGCACAUAAAUAAAUGUGCAUAACACAUCACUGCAAACCUCGAUUUUUCGCCGCCACUUCGCAUUUGUUGUCUUUCGAGGGCUUCUUACGGCUUUACCACCUGGGCUCAGGUUGGAAUUGUGAGCGCAAUAUGUUAAGAUCAGAUGCGAGUUUGCUCCGUACUCGGGCGAAAAUGCACACCAUCGAACUUCGCAACCACAACUACUUCCAAAUAUCGGCGAUCUUCAGUUACGCAAACUUGCCGCUUCAUCACCGCAGUUCCCUCGGAACAAACACAACAGUAUUGCAUGCACUGCAGUACACACUGCAGGGUCUUCAAAACUCAAAGCUAGUGUUUGUUGGAUCGUUGGCGCUAACCAUUAAUUUCAAAAGCUCGAACUGUUAGAAUGCGCAAUCAAUUCACUUAAAGCGUACUGAUACAGCGUCCACGAGUCUCGAUUGUGAUUCGGCUCAACCAGCCUCACGCCACUUCAAACAUGACUCGGCCAACCCAAUCUCACGCCAUUUUGAAUAUGACUUAGUCUAACAUAAUCUUCCGCCACAUGGCAGAAUGCUGCCCUAUUUAAGCCAACAGUAUUUUCUCUCAGAGAGAGAGAGAGAGAGAGAGAGAGAGAGAGAGAGAGAGCUCCUCAAGGCGUUUAUCGAUCGAUCCUAAACUAGUUUUCACAAUAAUCUCGCCGAACUUCAGCGACAUAUUAUCUGUUUGCCGACCUGAAGAAAAGUGUAAAAACAUGUACAACAUUUCUUUUUCCUAAACCAUAAAUCAAGACCAGGAAUAACAGGGGCCGAAAAGAAAUUGACACUUGAAGAUGUACACAAAGAAAGAUGCAGGAAAAUCCGAACUUCCAAAGUAGGCCGAAACACCAAAUAUGUUUCAGAAAAAAUUGCAUAUAAGCAUAUAACAUAAUCCAACAUUACUAUAAGGAAAAAUAAAAAUAAAAUCACCUUUAGUACAAAUUCUAUGCUUUUAUAGUUUACAUAGGAAUCACUGUUUACGAUUGCUAUUAUCACUACACAAGAAUUUUCCAGAUUCUGCUAAGACAUACCGUUCCUCAAAAACUUAACCAACAAUUUUUCCAUCGUUUAAUUGACCUCGCCGCGCGCCUUAAACUCCUCACCCCUGCGAAAAAAAAGAGAAAAAAAUAACUUUUGUGACAUAAACUAAGACACCGUCGAAGAAAAGAAAACGUUUGCGAAGAUGAGUCGAUCUAUUCGUACAUGCUGUAUUGAGAUAAUACACCAAAAGAUCUAAAAAAGAUCGAGGGAAGCUCAGGCGGGUAACUGGAGCUUGACAUUAUUCUUCCAGCUGCAGAUCAAAUCAAAGUUCAGAGUCAUUCUGUGAAAUUACAAUUCCUAAUUGCGACAAAUAUAUAUAGAGAUAUAUAGAUUCAUAUAAGCCCGCUAAACAAUUUAGUUUUAGACACACGCCCUUGUACUCAAACUUCAAGAAAUUGCACUUUCAGGGAGCAUAUAUGAAAAUUUGGAUUUUACUGGAGUAUAUAUAUGUAGAUAGUUUUGCUAGGAUAUGCAUGCAAAAAAGCUCUGUUGAUUCAAGGGCUACAAUAGCUUACCUAAGAAAGUAAUAGUAGAAGAAAUCGGCGUAGAGUAGCGUCUGCACGAGUCCGGAUAUCCAGGCUGCGACACAGUAAACAUACCAGCAUUAAGGAUAUGAAAUAUUAUAUCAAACGUAAAGAUGUGAAAGAGAUGGGAGGGUAAUUAGUAGAUUUUCAUACUUAUCCAAUGAACAUAGUGGGGUUCGGUGAAGUAGCGAUAAAUCCAAUUGAGGAUGUAUAAUGCUCUGUAUGCACUGCAGCAGGAAACGAUGGAAAAAAAUUCAAAUGAAUGGAAACGAUACCGCUUUAAAUUAUAGUGGCAUUUAUUGACAACUAUUGUGACUCAGGGAGGUAAUCGUUCUAGGAAUAUUUCAGAAGAAAAUGGUACUGCAUUAGUUUAUGCAAAGGUGCAGAAUUUAAAGGGACGAUUCCUAAACUUCAUGUAGAUUAGGUUGUAAAAUAUUUACUAAACAUGCGAAUCAAAUAAACACUGCAGAAGUUAUCUAGAAUUAGAUGAGAGAUGCGCAUAGCAAGAAAAGUGCUGUAUUAACACAGAAGUAGAGCACUUAGUAGCACGGUCGUGGAAGCUUCAAGUUUAUCUGAUAGCUUUUGCUACUAAAUUAACACGGUCGAGUGGAAACUCAAAUGAUAAAUUUCCAGCUAAACAGUUAGACAUAGCACGAAAAGCAUACACAGGCAAAAUAGAAGGUGGAUUUUGAGAUGAAGUUUACCCUAGAAGAAAAACAUAUUGCCCGGUCAAAUUGUCAAUAUUCCUCGUGCGUUGCAAUAAAACUAGUUGAGGGAGAAUCGCAACAGCCUCCAAAAAUAAAGAGAAUGUCCACAUCACCUGUAACAACAGUGACAGUAAACUGAAUUUAGAUAGGAAUAAUAAGUAUAUUAAGAAAAGGGGGAAAAAAAUAGAGUUGGAUGGUUAUUAAAAUUAUCUCCGCCAAAAUUGUUUUUCAUAUAAAAGGAUAGUUUAAUUCAUAUAUACACCAGCGCCAUGCGAAAUUGGUAUUUGCAUGCGUACCCCUGAAACUCUUGCUUGUGUGUGCCAUGCCAGCAUAUCUAUGAAAAUUUGGCUUUUGCAUUAUACCCUUUUUAGUAGGGGCAUGAAUGCAAAUAAGUACCGUAUUCAGCGUACGGACACAAAUACCAACUUUACAUGGCAUUCAGGCAAUUUCAUGUAUUUGCACAGGUACAUAUAUGUGAAUAUCCCAAGAAAACAAUGUUACAAAGAGAAGGAAAAUACGUGCUGUACUGAAGGCUUGUACAUGUAUGCCUAAGAGCAGAAACAUUUUGAAACAAUAAACACACCUCCAUAAAAGUAAACUUUUCAUUUAUGAGUAGGGCCAAGAGCAAACAUGGCAGUAUGAGAAAGUGGUGGCGGAAGGUGUCUUGAUCCUUGUCGUAAGUCCUGCGUACAAUCUUGUGGUGUCUCAUGUACCAUAAGAUCGAGAACGAGCUUCCCAAGAAGAUCAACUUCAUGACCGUAUUAUAGAGCGAAACAAAAUGAAUGAAAAUAUCCAAAUAUCGAGUUGCGAACACGAGAGCAUAUAACUCCUGAGUCUUCAAUGAAAUGCCUGCAGGAAACAGUUGGAUGAAUCAAGUAAAAAGAUCACACCAUAUGAAAUUAGUUUGGAAAACAAAAAUAGUUUUAGCAGUCUAAGGCAAUAGAUCGACACAGAUAAAAUAUGCAAAAGAUCCAAACUAUGAAAACCUAGAAAAUAAGCAGUAUAAUAUAACUUAAUCUGAGAAUUACGUGAUUUGAAGGCACAUGAAGUUCAUAAUAGUGCUUUUCAAUGAAACACACUGCCAUUUUGCAAUAAAUACUGAUACAAUUAAUCGAACUAGUUCGCAAACAAGAAGACGCACAAUAGAAAUGCUGCUACGUUUUGUCUAAAACAACAACAAUCAGGUCUUAAUCUGAGACCAGGAGAGUGCAAAACCAAUGAAAAGAAACUGAAACAUUAGGAAAGAUUACUACGUGAUAAAUAGUUGAUCUAAUUGAAUUUAGAACUACGAUUAAACAAAUUCAUCUACGGCCUACAUAUCAUCGAGGUAAUCUCUCUGUUCCCUUAGCGACUCCAAAUUCCUUUUUUUUCCUUUUCGUGCAAGCGUAACCCCCACACAUUAUUUUAUUUUGCAUGCUUAAAUUUUGGUUGUAAAGAGAUCAUGUGGAUAAAGGAAGCAUUUCAAACACUCAUUCAAUCAACCAUAUCCAACACCCAAAUAAUGCGUCAAAAAACAUAUCAUAAUAUUACAAUUCUCAUACCUAAUCACUCAAAUUAUGUUAAUAAUAAUGUGUCAAAACAACAUAGUUUUUUAACCCAUAAUAUUAUAAUUCUCAUACCUAAUCACUCAAAUCAUAACAUAGUUCUUUUUUCUUUUCUUUUUUUUACCAACAAAGAAACUGUUUUAAGAACUCAAAUCCAAUAAGGGAGAAAAAAUAAUCUGAACAAAUCGCCAUAAUUCAUUAUCAUUUCCAGCACACCAUUUCCUAUUUUUCCUCAUCAGAAUCAAACCCCUAAAGUACUUGUUCAAAAAUAAAAAAGAAGAUCUUUAUUCAAUCCCCAUUCCCUAAUUACCCAAAUCACAACAUAACUCAUUAAAAUUUCCAUCACGCCCACUUCUGAAACAAAAUCUCACAUUUCCCCUGUCCAAACCACAUGUAAAACAACGAUUUUCCUUAAAACAGCAAAUCACAACACAAUCCCCAUUUCCUAAUCGCCAAAUCACAACGUAGCUCAUCCAAUUUCCCACUUAAAAAACCCAUUUUGAGAACUCAUUCGCUCCCAUUUCCGAAUCCAAAUCUCACAUUUCCCUCCUCAAAAUCACACCCAAAACAACAUUUUUUUUCUCAAAACAACAGAUCACAACACAACCCCCACUUCCCAAUCACCCCAAUCCCAACACACCCCACCAAAUCCCCCACCCAAAAUAACCAUUUUUACCUCUCAAAUCGAGCCAACAAG
rnacentral:lncRNA from 1 species